CACACACACACACACACACACACACACACACACACACACAGCCUCAACACACUAGUGCUGUCCUUCUGCAAACUACACCAUCUGCCCUCAGAGUAAACACACACACACACACACACACACACACACACACACACACACACACACACAGACAGCCUCAACACACUAGUGCUGUCCUUCUGCAAACUAGACCAUCUACCCUCAGAGUUGUAUUCUCUUCCUGGUCUCCAGUACCUGGAUGUGUCCUAUAACCUGCUGACCUCUCUCAGCAGUGACAUCAGAAACCUCAGGUCUCUGCUCUAUCUGAAUGUAGAGGGCAAUCAGCUGAUUGGUCUGCCCGCGGGAGUGUUGCGUCUGUCGCUGAGCCGGCUUCUUCUGGACAGGAACUACACACACCCUCUGCUGUGGAACACACACACACUCCUCACGCCGCAGCGUCUGGAACACACCGCUGCACACGCGCUCACACACACACUC